rnacentral:rRNA from 1 species
CCUAUGGGAGGCAGCAGUGAGGAAUAUUGGUCAAUGGGCGCGAGCCUGAACCAGCCAAGUAGCGUGAAGGAUGACUGCCCUACGGGUUGCAAACUUCUUUUAUAAAGGAAUAAAGUGAGGCACGUGUGCCUUUUUGUAUGUACUUUAUGAAUAAGGAUCGGCUAACUCCGUGCCAGCAGCCGCGGUAAUACGGAGGAUCCGAGCGUUAUCCGGAUUUAUUGGGUUUAAAGGGAGCGUAGAUGGGUUGUUAAGUCAGUUGUGAAAGUUUGCGGCUCAACCGUAAAAUUGCAAUUGAUACUGGCAGUCUUGAGUACAGUUGAGGUAGGCGGAAUUCGUGGUGUAGCGGUGAAAUGCUUAGAUAUCACGAAGAACUCCGAUUGCGAAGGCAGCUUACUAAACUGCCACUGACAUUGAUGCUCGAAAGUGUGGGUAUCAAACAGGAUUAGAUACCCGGGUAGUC